rnacentral:rRNA from 1 species
GAUGAACGCUGGCGGCGUGCCUAAUACAUGCAAGUCGAGCGAACAGACGAGGAGCUUGCUCCUCUGACGUUACCGGCGGACGGGUGAGUAACACGUGGAUAACCUACCUAUAAGACUGGGAUAACUUCGGGAAACCGGAGCUAAUACCGGAUAAUAUAUUGAACCGCAUGGUUCAAUAGUGAAAGACGGUUUUGCUGUCACUUAUAGAUGGAUCCGCGCCGCAUUAGCUAGUUGGUAAGGUAACGGCUUACCAAGGCAACGAUGCGUAGCCGACCUGAGAGGGUGAUCGGCCACACUGGAACUGAGACACGGUCCAGACUCCUACGGGGGGCAGCAGUAGGGAAUCUUCCGCAAUGGGCGAGAGCCUGACGGAGCAACGCCGCGUGAGUCAUGAAGGUCUUCGGAUCGUAAAACUCUGUUAUUAGGGAAGAACAAAUGUGUAAGUAACUAUGCACGUCUUGACGGUACCUAGUCAGAAAGCCACGGCUAACUACGUG